rnacentral:rRNA from 1 species
AACGAACGCUGGCGGCAGGCUUAACACAUGCAAGUCGAACGCCCCGCAAGGGGAGUGGCGCACGGGUGAGUAACGCGUGGGAACCUACCUAUCGGUACGGAAUAACACAGGGAAACUUGUGCUAAUACCGUAUGAGCUCUACGGAGGAAAGAUUUAUCGCCGAUAGAUGGGCCCGCGUCCGAUUAGCUAGUUGGUGAGGUAACGGCUCACCAAGGCUUCGAUCGGUAGCUGGUCUGAGAGGAUGAUCAGCCACACUGGGACUGAGACACGGCCCAGACUCCUACGGGAGGCAGCAGUGGGGAAUAUUGGACAAUGGGCGCAAGCCUGAUCCAGCCAUGCCGCGUGAGUGAUGAAGGCCUUAGGGUUGUAAAGCUCUUUCGUCGGGGAAGAUAAUGACGGUACCCGAAGAAGAAGCCUCGGCUAACUCCGUGCCAGCCGCCGCAGUAACAC